rnacentral:rRNA from 1 species
GAUGAACGCUGGCGGCGUGCCUAAUACAUGCAAGUCGAGCGAACGGACGAGAAGCUUGCUUCUCUGAUGUUAGCGGCGGACGGGUGAGUAACACGUGUAUAACCUACCUAUAAUACUGGGAUAACUUCGGGAAACCGGAGCUAAUCCCGGAUAAUAUUUUGAACCGCAUUGUUCAAAAGUGAAAGACGGUCUUGCUGUCACUUAUAGAUGGAUCCGCGCUUCAUUAGCUAGUUGUUAAGUUAACGGCUUACCAAGGCAACGACGCAUAGACGACGUGAGAGGCUGAUAGGCCACACUGGAAGUGGGACGCGGUCAAGACUACUACGGGAGGCAGCAGAAGGGAAUGUGAGGCAAUGGGCGAGAGCCUGACGGAGUAACGGGGCGUGAGUGAUGAAGGUCUUCGGAGCGUAAAGCUCUGUUAUUAGGGAAGAACAGAUGUGUAAGUAACUGUGCACAGCGUGACGGUACCUAAUCAGAAAGCCACGGCUUACUACGUG